rnacentral:rRNA from 1 species
UUGAGAGGAUGAUAGUAAUGGAAUGAGAAUGGUCCAGACUCCUACGGGAGGCAGCAGUGGGGAAUAUUGGACAAUGGGCGAAAGCUUGAUCCAGCCUGGCCGCGUGUGAGAAAAAGGUCUUCGGAUUGUAAAGCACUUUAAGUUGGGAGGAAGGUCUGUAAGCUAAUACCUUGCAGUUUUGACGUUACCAACAGAAUAAGCACCGGCUAACUCUGUGCCAGCAGCCGCGGUAAUACAGAGGGUGCAAGCGUUAAUCGGAAUUACUGGGCGUAAAGCGCGCGUAGGUGGUUUGAUAAGUUGAAUGUGAAAGCCCCGGGCUCAACCUGGGAAUUGCAUCCAAAACUGUCUGACUAGAGUACGGUAGAGGGUGGUGGAAUUUCCUGUGUAGCGGUGAAAUGCG